UAAAAUAAAAUAAAUCCUCUUUUGUAACCCAGAACUCAUUGUUCAGUAUGAGUUUUGAUACAUAUAGGAAGGGAUAUU
ensembl:snoRNA